AUGCAGUACCCUAAAGGUUCGUUGGUGGGACAUCUAUCAUCAAGCUCUUAUGUCUUUAGCUGCCCAAGUACGCUGGCGCAAACUUCUGCUACGGUUCAAGGUAAUCUUGAAAGCAUACCUGAAGCGGUGGAAGAGGAUCACAUAGUUUUCACUAACACAGGUAAUCUUGAAAGCAUACCUGAAGCGGUGGAAGAGGAUCACAGAGUUUUCACUAACACAGGUUCCCCAACAGAAAGCUUUGUUGCGGACGAUAAUGAGUUUGAAGAAGAAGAUGAUGAGUACUUCCAUUGUCAUGGAUGCCUUACUUCCCUACAUGUAUUGCACAAAAACUGCAAGACCUAUAUAACACUAUUCAUCUCAUGUAUAUGUAGGCGAUGA
rnacentral:rRNA from 1 species